rnacentral:lncRNA from 1 species
CGCCCCGCCCCGCCCCGCGCCGCCGCCCCCAACCCCUAGGCUGAGCCGGAGGGAGGGACCCAGAAGGGAGGGAGGCGGAAGGGAGGCCAAAAAGGAGGGGGCCACGUGAAAGAGGCCGGCCGACCGAGACCGAGGGAGACUGAGCGGAGCGCACGCCCUGGAAGGAGAGAGCCGGAGAGUUCGGGAGGCAAGACCCCCAGAGACGAGAGUCGGAGGGAUCAAACGACACAGAUGGAGUCUUGCUCUGUCACCCAGACUGGGUACAGUGGCACGAUCUCGGCUCACUACAAACUCCACCUCCUGGGUUCAAGAGAUUCUCCUACCUCAGCCUCCCGAGUAGCUGGGACUACAGAGGACACAGCAUUCAAUACUACCUUGGAAGCAGCGACAGCAACCCUCACCAGACACCAAGCCUGCUGGCACCUUGAUCUUGGACAUCCAGCCUCCAGAUCUGUGAGAAGUAAAUUCUGGUUUUUUAAAAAUUACCCAGUCUCAGGUAUUUUUUAAUACACACAUUAAUGGACUAAGACAAGACUCAACACUGUCAAGUUGUCAAUUUGUGCUAAAUUGAUCUAUAGACUUAAUAUGUUCUCAAUAAAAGUCCCAACAAGGUUAAUGUGGAAAUUGACAAGCUGAUUCUAAAACAUAAUGAAAGGCAACGGACGUAGAAUAACAAAAACCCUUUUGAAAAAAUGAAUAUUACCUGAAAUGAAGAGUCAGCAUAAAGUUACAAUGAUAAAGACAGUGUGUUACUGGCACAGGGAUAGACAUAUAGACCAAUAGAACUGAAUUGAGAAUCCAGAUGUAUAUAUCAAGUCAAUGGGGGAAAGGUAUAGAAUAAAGAGGUAUUCACAUAGGAAAAAGCAAAUCUCAAAUUUUACUUCACAUCAUACACAAAAAAUGACUCUGAAUGGAGGGUAGUUCUAAAGGUAAGAGCUAAAGCUAUAGUACUUCUAGAACAGGGGUUACAAUUUUUUUUCUUUAAAGAAACAAAUAGUAAAUAUUGUAUGCUUUGCAGGCCAAAAGAUC